rnacentral:rRNA from 1 species
CCUACGGGCGGCAGCAGUGGGGAAUAUUGGUCAAUGGGCGCAAGCCUGACCCAGCAACGCCGCGUGAAGGAAGAAGGCUCUCGGGUUGUAAACUUCUUUUGUCAGGGACGAAGCAAGUGACGGUUCCUGACGAAUAAGCCACGGCUAACUACGUGCCAGCAGCCGCGGUAAUACGUAGGUGGCAAGCGUUAUCCGGAUUUACUGGGUGUAAAGGGCGUGUAGGCGGGACUGCAAGUCAGAUGGGAAAACCGCGGGCUCAACCUGUGGCCUGCAGUUGAAACUGUAGGUCUUGAGUACUGGAGAGGCAGGCGGAAUGCGUGGUGUAGCGGUGAAAUGCGUAGAUAUUAGGCGGAACACCGGUGGCGAAGGCAGUCUACUGGACCGCAACUGACGCUGAGGCGCGAAAGCGUGGGGAGCAAACAGGAUUAGAUACCCGUGUAGUC